rnacentral:rRNA from 1 species
AUUGAACGCUGGCGGCAUGCUUUACACAUGCAAGUCGAACGGCAGCGCGGGCUUCGGCCUGGCGGCGAGUGGCGAACGGGUGAGUAAUGCAUCGGAACGUGCCCAGUAGUGGGGGAUAGCCCGGCGAAAGCCGGAUUAAUACCGCAUACGACCUGAGGGUGAAAGCGGGGGACCGAAAGGCCUCGCGCUAUUGGAGCGGCCGAUGUCGGAUUAGCUAGUUGGUGGGGUAAAGGCUUACCAAGGCGACGAUCCGUAGCUGGUCUGAGAGGACGACCAGCCACACUGGGACUGAGACACGGCCCAGACUCCUACGGGAGGCAGCAGUGGAGAAUUUUGGACAAUGGGGGCAACCCUGAUCCAGCCAUGCCGCGUGCGGGAAGAAGGCCUUCGGGUUGUAAACCGCUUUUGUUCGGGAAGAAAUCCUCUGGGCUAAUACCCCGGGGGGAUGACGGUACCGGAAGAAUAAGCACCGGCUAACUACGUG